UUUGAGUGGAAGGCAGACGUCCAGUCACACAGCGUAAAGACAAUAAUAAUAAUAAUUAUUAUUAUUAUUUAUAAAGAGUCAAUCCUCAGCUGUGAUAAUUAAAUUCAAUCGCAUUCAUUUAAAUCCUCGUCAGCUUCUCGGCGCUGUAAUGUCAUCACGUCCCAUUGCGGAAGUGUUUGGAUUCCCAAGAAAGAAAAGGGAAAGAAAAAAAAUAAAUCAUAUCCUGUCUGAGAAAGUUCGCCUCACGGCUGGAAUAGCAACAAAAUGUCAAAAGUUACAAGACAAAACAAUUGUGCGUGGUUAGCAAUUGUGUUUCGUUCAGCCAUGGAGUCUAGGGGACAAUCAAAAUGUUUAGGGAGGGGAGUGGGAGCCCCCGUCCGCCUGUCAUCACAAUGUUGAUCAUCACGUAUUGGGAUUUUUUUUUUUUGAGUCUCAUGCCACCAAAUAAAAACAUCCAAUUUCCUUUCGCCCGACAAAGACAAAGCACAACUUUUCUUUUUGUCUAAAAAUGGUCUGCUUUGGAGGCAGGGUGGGCACGUAGAGCUAAUUUAGGAGCCAAGAGGUCAGGGCCUGAUGAAAAUGUUUGGGUUCAUGUCUGCACGUCAGCCUCAGAGCUGCCAACAAAAAGCUGUGUGCUUAUGUCUACUCGAUAGGUGCGGUAUGAUUGGCUGGCUACCGGGUCCAGGAUGCACCCUGACUAUCAAUGAACUACUAUUAUUGAAAACAGACUUGGACGUGGCCGAGGAAAAAUAAAGUAUUAUGGGCAUAUCAGGUUCCAGAUGGAAAUAUGAAUGAGAUGGUGAGUAGGAUGGAUGGCCAAUAAAGACACGGCCUUUGUUUUGACAGGGUGACAGCUGCUGGCCAUUAUUGAGCAUGCGCAAUAGUACCCCCCACCUGCCACUGACAGAACACAGCGGCUGUGUCCAAACUUGCAGGCUCCGUCCGCGUCCGGAAGUGACGAAAAUGCGGCCUUUGGAGAACCCAGCCGGUGAAAUCGGACACGGUCAAUGUUGCACGUCAGCCUUUUGGAAGAAAACUAACGAAGCUGUUGCCAAAUUGUGUUUAUUCGAGGAAAAGAGUCACAAUUGGACAAGGCGAAAGAUGGAUAGAUAGAUCGCGUGAGCCAACUGGAGCGUGUUCCCGAGGACGAGAUCAACCGUCUGCUGUGUAUCGUGCUGGAUGUGGAGUACUUGGACAAACGCGUGGACGACGCCGACACCAAGAGCCGAGCUUGGAUCAGUGACGGCGAGUGAAUCUUUCGGUGACCAACUACGCAUUUUGAUUCAGCCGUCGGAGACAAUGCAGCGCGUCUGAAAAGGUAAACGCAGAGAGAGAGGGACAAACAAAAAUGAUAGAGGAUUUCAGUCGGGCUGCACCAGCCGCAAAUUUCGGUACACCGCCGCGAGAACAGAAGAAUGUAAUCAUCGAAAAUAGUCAUGCUCAUUUUUGAUUAUUACAAGACUACGACUACAAACUUACAAGCGUAAUAGUAAACAUGACUGAAUCGAAGCAACUGUGUGAUUUUUAUCUUCUGAAUUUUGAAGUCUCAAGUUGCUUUUUAAAUCAGACGUAGACAAAUUGAAACAAAGACUUUGGUCUCUGGUGUGUCUACCCAACCAUCGAGUGUGAAAUUAAGCAACCAAGUAAGUUUUACUACCCGCCGAUUUUUCAAAGAUGUGCUUGUGCAAAACUCAGAGCAAGUUUUGCGUAUCGCGACGGCACAAUUCCACGAAGUGACAUCAGAACCACCAUGCCCCAUUGACAGGCAGAGGCACAAUCAAGUUGUCUGCUAAAUGGUAAGCAGAGCUGCAAGGUUAGGGGCGCUAACAGUAUUUACCGGCAUUAGCUUCAGAUAAACGGCACCUACUCGAAUGUUUGACUUUUCGACAUGAUUAAUCUCAUCACGCUCAGGCGAAAUUAAGAAUUCAACGUAUUUUAUGUUUUCAUUCGUCCUAAUUUAUUUGGUGUGAACAAACCACCCAAAAAUGCCGAGGCGGUCUAAAAACCGAAUGACUUAUCACCAAGCAGCUCCGCCUGCACCCAUGUCAGCUGCACCUGUGGCAACUGUCAUCCGUUAAACACCGCUGAGGUCAUGGGGGCGGGGUGGGAGGGGGGAAUGAACAGAACACAGAAAAUAAUGCUUACGACAACAACUUACUGGUGAUGACGCCUCCGGAGAGCGAGGCCAGGAAACCCACGCUGACCAGCACGACGGUGAUGAGACGGCCCCUCUUGUGGCGUUGCAGCAUGACAAACAUGAGCAGCCCCACCACCCCGUGGACGAAGAGUGAGGAGAAGAGGCACCACAGGAACACCCAGUACCACAUUUCUGACAGGGGAGGGAACAAAAUAAUAAAAUGAUCGACGAGCCCUGAAACACGUGAAAGUGUCCAUUUAAAUACCGAUUACCAUUAAUUAGCAUUAGCAAUAAUGAGGUACCAGAGUUCAAGCCCAAAGUGCAAUUUUUUUUUUUUUGCAUAUCCGUUAAACCGAACCGUUCUAUUUUCCCAAGCGACUACGUCUAUAUUUAUUGAUCCGGCAAUUGGCGGUCGGGCCCAGCAGGGAGAUGUGCGCUGUCCGGCAUGGAUGCACAAGUGACUCUUUGUCCCACGCGACAGCUCAACUCAACUCAGCCAGACAGGAGGCCGACGUCCGAGACGGGACGGAGAGAACAAGUACAAAUCAGACGGCGCUUCCAAGAUGUAUAUCGAGAAGCAUUCCGUCACGCUCCAUCGGGAUCUUUCAUCUCGAUCCGGUUGCACAGGCGCCCAACUGAGCCCGGAUGGAUUUUCGCAAAGCUCUUUUUGAGAGUUGUCGGCAACCACGGGAGGACCACGACGACCACCAUCGGCUCGACUGGCCUUGGCCUUUUAGCCAUCAGAACCAAAUGGCUGCAAAACCCGAUUUUGUUUUAACAUCGGCGCCACGACGACAUCCAUGAAAAGAGCCGUCCGAAGCUAUCAACGCAGUUAUUGGACGAAAGGCCGACAACUCCCUGUCGCGGAUCGCAUUACAAUGUGCAGGUGGAACGGUGAGUGGCUGACGUUUCCCUGCACACACAUUCUCGUUGUGACCCUAUUUCAGGUCUUAGUUGGUCAUUUUUCACCAGAUUGGGUUUGUAAAGGGGGGGUUGGGGUGUCAGGUGGCAGUAUUCUACCCCCCCCCCACCCCCUGCGUUGUGCUUCUGCUUCCACGCAGCUCGACAAGCGCUCAAGCUUCCUGCCGACUCAGCAUCCCCCCCCCCCCACUACCUCUUUUUCGCUCGUGCCCGACACGUUGCGCAACGCGCAGGAUGCGACGCAAGCACCUCGAAAGGUCGCAGUGCUGCAAUCGGAAAUGACCACAUGUCCGGUUCUUUUAAUAUUCUGCGUGUUCAAUGAAAUAUUUGUGUAAGAAAAAAAUCCUCGUUUCCCGAAUGCAUAGGGGGGAAUCUGGCGUGCUGUAAUUUUGGUGAAGGGCAAGUAAAAAUCUCUGUUGAUUUACUAAAACAGAUUUUAAUUUUUUUUUUUUAAUCAAAUGCUCUUCCAAGAGAUAGCAAUUAACAUGUGUACCCAAUUUUAGAACCACAGAGAUCUUCGAAUAACUCUCGUUAGUGGCAUGUCGCAAAAUUGUAAACCAAGUCAGUUGGGACAUUUUCCAGCUCAGGCGUCACCCUUGUGAGGACAAACGUUGUACAAGACGGAUGGAUGGAUCUUUUUUCUUUUUUUUUUGUAGGGUACGUUUGUAUUUAUUAGACAUAUGUCAGAUGUGACCGCUUACCGAGACGUAUCUCUAAUUUAUUAAUUUUAGGUGAACAGGGAAAGUAAAAAUACUCAAUUUCCCAUUUCUUCUUUUUUUUUCAUUUUUAUACUGGCAGUACAGACGACUGAGUCUUUUGUAACUUGGUCUGACAGUUUCAUGGCAAGCAACGACUGUCUUGGCUUGAUCGUAAAUUGCCAGAAUGCGAAUUCAUGCACAAUAAAAGCAGUUAAAAUGA